rnacentral:rRNA from 1 species
GUAAGGAAUAUUGGGCAAUGGGGGGAACCCUGACCCAGCCAUGCCGCGUGAGGGAAGUAGGCCCUACGGGUCGUGAACCUCUUUUGUCGGGGGACAAGGACGCCGUCGCGAACGGUGUUUGCGGGUACCCGGCGAAUAAGCAUCGGCUAACUCCGUGCCAGCAGCCGCGGUAAUACGGAGGAUGCGAGCGUUAUCCGGAUUCAUUGGGUUUAAAGGGUGCGCAGGCGGCCCGGUAAGUCAGCGGUGAAAGUCAGGGGCCCAACCCCGGAAGUGCCGUUGAUACUGUCGGGCUGGAAUGCGGUCGAGGCGGGCGGAAUGUGGUGUGUAGCGGUGAAAUGCAUAGAUAUGCCACAGAACGCCGAUAGCGAAGGCAGCUCGCCAGGCCUGCAUUGACGCUCGGGCACGAAAGCGUGGGGAUCAAACAGGAUUAGAAACCCUAGUAGUCC